GAUGAACGCUGGCGGCGUGCCUAAUACAUGCAAGUCGAGCGAACAGACGAGGAGCUUGCUCCUCUGACGUUAGCGGCGGACGGGUGAGUAACACGUGGAUAACCUACCUAUAAGACUGGGAUAACUUCGGGAAACCGGAGCUAAUACCGGAUAAUAUAUUGAACCGCAUGGUUCAAUAGUGAAAGACGGUUUUGCUGUCACUUAUAGAUGGAUCCGCGCCGCAUUAGCUAGUUGGUAAGGUAACGGCUUACCAAGGCAACGAUGCGUAGCCGACCUGAGAGGGUGAUCGGCCACACUGGAACUGAGACACGGUCCAGACUCCUACGGGAGGCAGCAGUAGGGAAUCUUCCGCAAUGGGCGAAAGCCUGACGGAGCAACGCCGCGUGAGUGAUGAAGGUCUCCGGAUCGUAAAACUCUGUUAUUAGGGAAGAACAAAUGUGUAAGUAACUAUGCACGUCUUGACGGUACCUAAUCAGAAAGCCACGGCUAACUACGUG
rnacentral:rRNA from 1 species